rnacentral:rRNA from 1 species
AAAUUGAAGAGUUUGAUCAUGGCUCAGAUUGAACGCUGGCGGCAGGCCUAACACAUGCAAGUCGAGCGGUAGCACAGAGAGCUUGCUCUCGGGUGACGAGCGGCGGACGGGUGAGUAAUGUCUGGGAAACUGCCUGAUGGAGGGGGAUAACUACUGGAAACGGUAGCUAAUACCGCAUAACGUCGCAAGACCAAAGUGGGGGACCUUCGGGCCUCAUGCCAUCAGAUGUGCCCAGAUGGGAUUAGCUAGUAGGUGGGGUAACGGCUCACCUAGGCGACGAUCCCUAGCUGGUCUGAGAGGAUGACCAGCCACACUGGAACUGAGACACGGUCCAGACUCCUACGGGAGGCAGCAGUGGGGAAUAUUGCACAAUGGGCGCAAGCCUGAUGCAGCCAUGCCGCGUGUGUGAAGAAGGCCUUCGGGUUGUAAAGCACUUUCAGCGGGGAGGAAGGCGAUAAGGUUAAUAACCUUGUCGAUUGACGUUACCCGCAGAAGAAGCACCGGCUAACUCCGUGCCAGCAGCCGCGGUAAUACGGAGGGUGCAAGCGUUAAUCGGAAUUACUGGGCGUAAAGCGCACGCAGGCGGUCUGUCAAGUCGGAUGUGAAAUCCCCGGCUCAACCGGGAACUGCAUUCGAAACUGGCAGGCUAGAGUCUUGUAGAGGGGUAGAAUUCCGUGUAGCGGUGAAAUGCGUAGAGAUCUGGAGGAAUACCGGUGGCGAAGGCGGCCCCCUGGACAAAGACUGACGCUCAGGUGCGAAAGCGUGGGGAGCAAACAGGAUUAGAUACCCUGGUAGUCCACGCCGUAAACGAUGUCGAUUUGGAGGUUGUGCCCUUGAGGCGUGGCUUCCGGAGCUAACGCGUUAAAUCGACCGCCCGGGAGUACGGCCGCAAGGUUAAAACUCAAAUGAAUUGACGGGGCCCGCACAAGCGGUGGAGCAUGUGGUUUAAUUCGAUGCAACGCGAAGAACCUUACCGGUCUUGACAUCCACAGAACUUUCCAGAGAUGGAUUGGUGCCUUCGGGAACUGUGAGACAGGUGCUGCAUGGCUGUCGUCAGCUCGUGUUGUGAAAUGUUGGGUUAAGUCCCGCAACGAGCGCAACCCUUAUCCUUUGUUGCCAGCGGUCCGGCCGGGAACUCAAAGGAGACUGCCAGUGAUAAACUGGAGGAAGGUGGGGAUGACGUCAAGUCAUCAUGGCCCUUACGACCGUGGCUACACACGUGCUACAAUGGCAUAUACAAAGAGAAGCGACCUCGCGAGAGCAAGCGGACCUCAUAAAGUAUGUCGUAGUCCGGAUUGAGUCUGCAACUCGACUCCAUGAAGUCGGAAUCGCUAGUAAUCGUAGAUCAGAAUGCUACGGUGAAUACGUUCCCGGGCCUUGUACACACCGCCCGUCACACCAUGGGAGUGGGUUGCAAAAGAAGUAGGUAGCUUAACCUUCGGGAGGGCGCUUACCACUUUGUGAUUCAUGACUGGGGUGAAGUCGUAACAAGGUAACCGUAGGGGAACCUGCGGUUGGAUCACCUCCUUACCUUAAAGAA